rnacentral:lncRNA from 7 species
ACUCCCUGUCCCCACUGCAGUCUCGCUGUCCCCACGCUGCUCCUGCCUCAUGGCACCAAUGGCGGUGGCCCUCAUCCUUGGUUGGUGGCUGGUGGUAGCGAGCAGGGCACAGCAACAUCACAGUUUUCGUCCACCCAACAUUUUGCUGAGAUCUGAGGAACCUGUGGUGUUGGGGAGUAACGUCACCAUCUGGUGCUGGAGACAGAGUUAUGGGGGCACCAUCUGCCUGCACAAGGAUGGGCGCUCGGUCCCUAUCCGGUGCCAGCACACUAAUUGGGCUGGCAUGGCCACCUUCACACUCUCUGGUGUAACUCAAGCCGACACCGGCACCUAUAGGUGCUCCUACCGACCUGAGGGCCGCCACCUUCUGUCCUCACCUGUUGGGGACAAAGUGGCACUGGAAAUGACACCCACACCUGCACACCCAGGUGCUGCAGGACCACCUCAUGGGAACCUGGUGGUGGCGGUGGUGAGGGGCUGCGCUGCUGUCCUCGUCUUCUUCCUCGGCCUCUUCUUUGUCCUCGAUGCCCGCAGUCUCUGGAUACAAAGAGACAGGAGCCCUGGAGCUGAACAAAUUCAAUGGCUUUGAAACUCUAAAGAACCCCUUUUGUUCCCUGCAGGUGUACUCUGCCUCCAUGUUGACACCAUAUCCAGCUCCCUACCUCUCCCACCUCUUUUUCAAUCUCCUAUGGUGUGCCCUUCCUCAUCUUCCAUCCCCUAUAGGUGGAGAAAUCCACAAGCCCAAUGUCCCGACUCCACUUCCAUGCACUGUCGAUACCCCUCAUGCUCCCUGCUCCAUUCACUGUCUCCAUGACCUUCGCCCUGCUCCCCUCCUUGUUUUGAUGGUGGUCGUGCCCCCACAGAAAGACAGAGGCCAUGCAGUUCCAGGGCAGUGCCAGGGUCCGGGGAACCCAAAUCCCAGCAUGCGCCUUAUGGAUCCCCCAAACAUCACCAGCAACCUCAAACCCUCUCCAUGGGGACCACAAGGGACUCCCAGCCUCAUAUGGCCUACCAGAGCAUUAUAUACACCCAAAUCCAGCCCACGAGAAUCCAAAAUAUACAUCACAGGGGCCACAGAUCUAAACCCCCAGGCACCUUCCCAACCCUACACACCCUCAGUCCCUACCAGCACCCCCAAAACUGAGCAUAUCAGACCCAUGCACACUGCAGCCAGCACAAAGCCCCAGUGGAAUCCCCAAACCACCUGGACAGCCCUCAGAUCCCAUGGACACCCCCAAGCCACAGUGGCACCUCCAAAUGCUGUGCAUAGGGACUCCCAAUAUCUGACUUACGGAACCCUGAGAUCAAAGCCUCCCCAGACCCCAAGUCCUGAACGCCACUCAGAACUCACAGGUGCACUCAAACCAUGAGACACUGCAAAAUCACACUUGGGCCCCAAAGCUAAGCCAGCCCAGACUCCCAGAACCACCAUUCCUGUGACCCUGUCUUAGCCAAUCAGAACUCCAAAUGUCCCAAAUCUAACAUCCCCAGAUUCUCACCAGUGUGCCCCAUAUUCUUUGUAAUCCCAUCUAAUCCUUACAUAUUCUACUCUAACUCCAGAAUCCUUCUAUAUUGUCCUCAACUCCCUAAUGACCCACUGGGACCCUUAAAUCCUUCCCAGGUUUUGGCAUCGGUUGGAGGGUGGUGAGCAGCUGUGUUGAGCACCACUUCCUUUGUCUGCAUGUACGUAUUCUUAGCAUUACUGUUAUUUCUCUCUUCCUUUUCUGCCUGAGUAAAUACAUUUUAUC